rnacentral:rRNA from 1 species
UACGUAGGGGGCUAGCGUUGUCCGGAAUCAUUGGGCGUAAAGCGCGUGUAGGCGGUUCGGUAAGUCCGCUGUGAAAGUCGGGGGCUCAACCCUCGAAUGCCGGUGGAUACUGUCGGGCUAGAGUGCGGAAGAGGAGAGUGGAAUUCCUGGUGUAGCGGUGAAAUGCGCAGAUAUCGGGAAGAACACCCGUGGCGAAGGCGGCUCUCUGGGACGGUACUGACGCUGAGACGCGAAAGCGUGGGGAGCGAACAGG